AGUGAACGCUGGCGGUAGGCCUAACACAUGCAAGUCGAACGGCAGCACAGUAAGAGCUUGCUCUUACGGGUGGCGAGUGGCGGACGGGUGAGGAAUACAUCGGAAUCUACUUUUUCGUGGGGGAUAACGUAGGGAAACUUACGCUAAUACCGCAUACGACCUACGGGUGAAGGCAGGGGAUCUUCGGACCCUGCGCGAUUGAAUGAGCCGAUGUCGGAUUAGCUAGUUGGCGGGGUAAAGGCCCACCAAGGCGACGAUCCGUAGCUGGUCUGAGAGGAUGAUCAGCCACACUGGAACUGAGACACGGUCCAGACUCCUACGGGAGGCAGCAGUGGGGAAUAUUGGACAAUGGGCGCAAGCCUGAUCCAGCCAUACCGCGUGGGUGAAGAAGGCCUUCGGGUUGUAAAGCCCUUUUGUUGGGAAAGAAAAGCAGCAGGUUAAUACCCCGCUGUUCCGACGGUACCCAAAGAAUAAGCACCGGCUAACUUCGUG
rnacentral:rRNA from 1 species